rnacentral:lncRNA from 1 species
CUUGGUCCCUUAAGUGAGUUAGGUUAUAGAUCUGGACCUUUGGAGGUCCAGAGUGUCCCUUUGCCCAAGCUUUUUAUGAAUCCAUGAGGGUUUUGGAUUAGGGUCUUUGUGCUUAAGGUCAAAACACCAUUUAUGAGUCAUGGGGUGUGUUAUGAGCACCAAGUUAUGGACUUUACGUGAUGAAUUAGCUUAGGAGGGCUAGAUCUAUGAGUUGUUGGAGCGGAUCUGACCUCAGAAGCAAGUUUGAGUUGAUGCAUGGCAUGGACUCGCCGAGUCUAAAGAAUAGAAUCGGCGAGUAGCAUGAAGAUUGUCCUUGACCACUCAGUGAGUGGUCCAGCCGACUUAUGAGCUGACUCAGUGAGUCAGGGAGAGUUAGAGAGGGUUGACAGGUGGACUGAGUCGAACAGGAACUCGUCGAGUUGUUCUUGAGACUCGGCGAGUUGAGUCGGGGUGGCCCCGCGAUUCAUACCAGGUGGAACUCGUCGAGUUAGGGGAAUACUCGACGUGUCAAAAAGGGAAUCCUAGAGAGUUGGUGAAAACGCUUAGACUCGCCGAGUCGCCCUAGUGCACUCGCCGAGUCCGGUCAAAGUUGACCGUUGACCAGAGUUGACCAGUGUUGACUUGAUAGGGGUAGUCAACCUUAGUGGUAAAAGUGUUAAUUAGAGAUAUAUGAUGUUAUAGGAGGAUUAUAGCUCGGAGGAUCGAGCACGAGUGAUUUCCAGGAUUCGCGAGUUAUCGAGAUAUACGAGGUGAGUCUUCUCACUAUACUUUACCUUGAGUAGGUAACCAGAGUUAUGUGAUAAGAGUAUUUGUAUGCUAUAUGUAUGUGAUGUGUUGUACUGCAUUAUUUCUAUGUGAUUUAUGCUGUGCAUGUUUUAGAGUUGGAACCGGAAGGUUCACAGAGUUAGAACCUGAGGGUUCACAGAGUUUGGGUGCACGGACCCAUAGAGUUAUAGCCUCGAGUGGCUAAUAUGUGUUAUGUGUGUGGUAUUUUGGGGAACUCACUAAGCUUUGUGCUUACAGUGUUAGUGUUGUUGUUUCAGGUACUAGCGAUGACCGUGGGAAGGCGCCGGCUUGAUCUGUACACACGCAUGGGAUUUUUAUGAUAUGUGAUCUUGGGAUUUUUUAUGAUAUGGAUUGGAGUUUUAAACUUGAUGUUUUAUGAAAAUUAAAUGAAAAUGUUUUUAUAUUAUGCGAAAAAUUAUUUUGAAAUUCACGGUGUUACAAUAUGGUAUCAGAGCCUUGGUUUGAGGGAUUCGAGUACACCUUCGGGCGUAUUUGAACUCAAACUGAGGAUUUGAGAAGUAUUUUCAAAAAGAGUAAAAGAUUUUUGAAAAAACGCAGAGCAGAGUUGUGUGUACGAUCAGUCCGCGCCCGAACGGUGAUUUCCCAAAAUACCCUCAUGUUAUGUGAUAUUGAUAUUGAUAUGAUGUAUUCGCAUGCUAGAGUAGGCUAGGUAUUCCUAUUAGGACUAGAGUGGCCUGAUUUGUGAUGCCUUAGCCUAGGAAGAGGUGAGCUGCUAUGAGAUGCUUGAGAGUGAGUAGGUAGCAGCGAGGGGCUUAUGAGAGAUCUAUUAGAGAGUGGCCUAUGCAUGAUAGAGUACUUGGAAUUUGGGAUCCGAAGAGGAGGACUUGGGGUGUACUCUGAUACGGUGCGGACAGUAGUAUUGGGCCCGUACUACUGAAAGCACCGGAGCGGUGUACAGCCCAAGUAAGAAUCUUUGGAAUACCAAGGAUCAAGGAGGAAUGAGUUGUCGAGUGUGAGUAUGCUCGAAUGGAUUCUAAUUUAUCGUAUGUUGUAUUUCAGAGGUAGAUCAUGGUGAGGACACGUUUGAUGCCUGAGAGCAGUGAUACCAGUGAUGAGGAGAUCCGCCGGAUCAUCCACGAGGAGGUGGCUGCGGCCAUCAGGGCAGAGAUACCAGAGAUGUUCGGGUCUAUUAAGACCACGCUGAUUGAGACCUUUGACGAGCGUUAUGCCGCUCUUUCUGAGGCUGCUGUUGCAGCGGCCACCGCAGCUAUUGCUGCCGCGAGGCCGCAGGGUGGUGAUGCGUUGCUGUUCCGAGAGUUCAGCAACACAAAACCACCAGAGUUUGAUGGGACCCAGGACCCGGUGGCGGCUAUGAGAUGGAUUUCUGACAUAGAGGGGUGUUUCUUCACUUGCUCAUCUCCUGAGCAUUUGAAGGUUCGGUUCGCGCUGAACCAGCUUCGCUUGGGAGCGAAGGACUGGUGGAAGUUUGUGACGGCGCACUUUACGCCUGCUGAGCUUGCGGCAGUGACCUGGGAGAGGUUCACUGCCAUGUUCCGAGAUGAGUACGUUCCCCAGGUGGAGAGGGAGCGUUUGGCCCAGGAGUUUCUGACCCUCAAGCAGGGUACUGAGUCUGUUACAGUGAUUACCAGGAUGUUCCAUGAGAGGGCGAUGUUCUGCCCUGAGCACGUGUCCACUGAGCAGGCACGUAUGAGCCGAUAUUUGAGUAUCUUGAGGCGAGACAUUCGGGAGUUCGCGGCGAACUCCUCGUACCGGACAUUUGCCGAGCUUCAGGCAAAUGCCCGGAAGAGGGAGAUUGAGCUAGAGACUCAGGCCAGGGAGGAGGCGGAGUCUCAGGGGAGGGAUCGGCGACCGGCACAGUCUCAGCCGGCAGCCAAGCGGGCCAAGCCCGCUGAUCCCAAACCAGGGAGCCAGAAGGGCCGCACUUGUGGGAAGUGUGGCAAGGGUCAUGAUGGAGUCUGUAGAGCGGGAUCUUGCUACAAGUGUGGCAAGGAGGGGCACAUGGCCAAGGACUGCCCCAAGGGGUUUGCGGUGUGUUUCCACUGCAACCAGACCGGACACCGGAAGGCAGAGUGUCCGCAGUUGCGAGGAUCAUCUCAGGGAGCACCUCAGGGAUCUGCCCCUGCCGCCAUCAGAGCUACCGAGAGUCGGCCAGUGAAGGCCGAGGCGCCGAGGGCACGAGGGAGAGCUUUUCAGCUGACCGCGGAGGAGGUCCGCGCAGCGCCCGAUGUCGUGGCUGGUAUGUAUUCUUUCAUGUAUUUAUUUUGAUGUUGAGAUAUUAUGCUUAUAUUAUGUUAUGCGUAGGUACUUUUCUUGUGAAUUCUGUACCUGCCUUGGUGUUAUUUGACUCGGGUGCGAGUCGGUCUUUUGUAUCUUUGGCUUUUAGUCAGCAUAUCAGUGUUAGUCGUGAGGCGUUGAGUCGGCCUCUGAGAGUUUCCAUAGCUGAUGAGAGGGUGAUAUAUGCCACGGAGGUUCUCCGAGGUUGCGUAGUCGAGAUUUUCGGUGUUGAGUUCCCGAUUGAUCUGGUUCCUAUUGCGAUGGGUGAUGUCUGUGUCAUUGUGGGCAUGGACUGGUUGAGCAGAUUCGGUGCGGUUAUCGACUGCGAGCGACAGCUGGUGACCAUACGAGACCCUAGUGGGGGAGUUCUUUCGGUGUACGGCGAGGGUACACGUUCAGGAUCAGCGUUUUGUUCGGCCGCUAGGGCGAGGCAGUGUCUACAGCAGGGCUGUAAGGGUUUUGUGGCGUAUGUGAUGGAUACGCGGGUGGAUUCCGAGAGGCCGAGUUCAGUUGAGGAGGUUCCGGUGGUGCGUGAGUUCCCGGAUGUGUUUCCCGAGGAGUUGCCGGGUGUGCCUCCUGUGAGGCAAGUGGAGUUCAGUAUCGAUUUGGUUCCGGGGGCCGCGCCUAUCGCUAAGGUGCCUUAUCGCCUUGCACCUCCAGAGAUGCAAGAGUUAUCCUCGCAGCUUCAGGAGCUGCUGGGGAAGGGGUUUAUUCGGCCGAGCAGCUCGCCGUGGGGAGCACCUAUCCUGUUCGUCAAGAAGAAGGAUGGUUCACACCGGAUGUGCAUUGAUUACCGGGAGUUGAACAAGCUGACGGUCAAGAACCGUUACCCGUUGCCGAGGAUCGACGAUUUGUUCGAUCAGUUGCAGGGAGCAUCUUGGUUCUCCAAGAUCGAUUUGAGGUCUGGAUAUCAUCAGGUGAGGGUGCGGGAUGAGGACGUCCAGAAGACAGCGUUCAGGACGCGUUAUGGGCAUUAUGAGUUUGUGGUGAUGCCUUUUGGGCUCACCAAUGCCCCGGCAGUGUUCAUGGAUCUCAUGAACCGAGUGUGUAGGCCGAUGCUGGAUCGGUCGGUGAUUGUAUUUAUCGACGACAUUCUGGUAUAUUCGAGAUCUAGAGAGCAGCAUGAGGAGCAUUUGAGAGAGGUUCUCGGAGUUCUGAGAUCGGAGAGGCUUUAUGCCAAAUUCUCCAAGUGUGAUUUCUGGUUGCGGGAGGUCCAGUUCUUAGGACAUCUCGUUAACCAGGAAGGGAUAUUGGUCGAUCCGGCCAAGGUUGAGGCGGUGAUGAGUUGGGAGGUGCCGAAGUCACCCUCCGAGAUCAGGAGUUUCCUAGGGUUGGCAGGGUAUUAUCGGAGGUUUAUCAAGGAUUUCUCUAAGAUCGCAGUGCCACUCACCAGAUUGACCCGGAAGGGUGUUGCUUUUUCAUGGGGCCCCGAGCAGCAGGCCUCCUUUGAGACACUUCGCCAAAGGUUGUGCGAAGCCCCGGUGUUAGCUCUCCCGGAAGGGAUGGAGGACUUUGUGGUAUACUGUGAUGCAUCGAUUUUGGGGUUGGGAGCGGUGCUGAUGCAGAGAGGGCAUGUGAUAGCAUAUGCAUCGAGGCAGCUGAAGCCUCAUGAGACGAGAUAUCCCACCCAUGAUCUAGAGUUGGGGGCAGUGGUGUUCGCCCUCAAGAUUUGGCGUCACUACUUGUAUGGGGUUCGGUGUACGAUAUACACGGACCAUAAGAGUUUGAAGUAUUUGAUGGAUCAGCCCAACCUAAAUAUGCGUCAGAGAAGGUGGUUGGAUGUGGUCAAGGAUUAUGAUUGUGAGAUCCUGUACCACCCAGGCAAGGCUAAUGUGGUAGCCGAUGCAUUGAGCCGCAGGGCGGAGAGCACCCCGCUGCGGGAGGUAUGUUUGAGAUUGACCGUGAUAGCUCCAGUAUUGGACGCCAUUCGUGGGGCACAGGCCGAGGCUGUGCAACCUGAGAUGCAGAAGAGGGAACGGGUUGUUGGUUUGGUUUCAGAGUUCGUUACCGAUGGUCGGGGGCUUAUGACAUUUCAGGGGCGUAUCUGGGUGCCGUUUGUGGGAGGAACGCGUACCAUUUUGAUGGAGGAGGCUCAUCGGUCGAAAUUUUCGAUCCAUCCGGGGGCCACUAAGAUGUAUUUGGAUUUGAGAAAGGAGUAUUGGUGGCCCUGUAUGAAGAGGGAUGUCGCGUGGUUUGUUGAGAGGUGCUUGACCUGUCGUAGGGUUAAGGCCGAGCACCAGAGGCCGCAUGGUAAGUUGCAGCCAUUGGAGGUUCCCGAAUGGAAGUGGGAACAGAUCACUAUGGAUUUCAUCACCAAAUUGCCGAGGACUGCCAGAGGAGUUGAUGCAAUUUGGGUGAUUGUGGACAGGUUGACGAAGAGCGCUCACUUCCUUGCCAUCAGUGAGAGUUCUUCAGCAGAGAAAUUGGCGGAGGUGUAUGUGAGGGAAGUGGUAUCUCGGCAUGGGGUGCCGAUCUCGAUUGUUUCAGACCGUGAUGUGCGUUUCACUUCCAGAUUCUGGAAGAAAUUUCAUGAGGAGUUGGGUACUAGAUUGCAUUUUAGUACCGCAUAUCAUCCCCAGACAGACGGUCAGAGUGAGCGGACGAUUCAGACGCUUGAGGACAUGCUUCGAGCAUGUGUGUUGGAUUUCGGGGGUAGCUGGGAUGCGUAUUUACCCUUGGCAGAGUUUUCCUACAACAACAGCCAUCAUUCGAGCAUUGGUAUGCCACCCUUUGAGCUGUUGUAUGGGAGGAGGUGUCGGACCCCCAUUUGUUGGGGAGAGGUUGGGCAGAGAGUGAUGGGCAGUACAGAGAUCAUGCUUCAGACGACAGAGCAGAUUCAACAGGUCAGACAGAGGUUGUUGACCACUCAGAGCUGACAGAAAAGUUAUGCAGACAGAUGCCGGUUCGAGCUUGAGUUCCAGGUCGGCGACCUUGUACUCCUGAAGGUCUCUCCUUGGAAAGGAGUGAUUCGAUUCAGGAAGAGGGGCAAGUUGGGGCCCCGGUAUAUUGGGCCAUUUCGCGUGAUUGCGAGGGUAGGCCGGGUAGCCUAUCGUUUGGAAUUGCCAGCAGAGUUGGGGCAAAUCCACGACACUUUNACUUUUCAUGUGUCGCAGCUGAGGAAGUGUAUAGCCGAUGAGUCGGCAGUGGUUCCAUUAGAGGAUAUUCAGGUGGAUGCGAGCCUGAAUUAUGCCGAGAGACCAGUGGCCAUCAGAGAUCGGAAAAUCAAGGUUCUGAGGAACAAGGAGGUACCCCUGGUGUUGGUUCAGUGGCAACAUCGGAAGGGAUCAGAGAUGACCUGGGAGCCGGAGCGUGAGAUGCGUGAGCAGCAUCCGGAGCUAUUUCCAGAGUGAGACUUCGAGGGCGAAGUCUAGUUCUAGUGGGGGAGAGUUGUAACAGCUCGGAUUUCCAGGUAUCUUUUAUGCUUAUGUUUUUGGUGUUUUGUGAGGGGACUCGGCGAGUUGGAGCUCAGACUCGCCGAGUAGGAUCGCGGUUCUGGACGCGGGUUCGCGCCUGGACUCGGCGAGUCCAAGGUAUGGACUCGGCGAGUCUGCGCUGUUUAAUGAAACCCUAAUUUCUCGGGUUUGGGACCUAUUUAAAGGGCCUUAAGGCCGUCAUUUGUGCUCACCAGACACCCUGAGUGAAACCCUAGCGAGUUUGAGCAAUUGGAGCAAAGCAAGGAGCCAUUAUUGACCUUGGAGGUGUUAUAUUGCAAGGGAAAGGAAGCAUUAGCUUAAGGGAAUCAAGUGGAGCCACUUUCUGAAGAUUUAGGGUUCAGAACAUCACAUUUGAGGUACUACUUUCGAGCUAUUCUCUGUUAUGUUGAUUUAGGGCUUAUUGAGCCAUUUUGUGGUUAGAUCUAGUGCUUCCUUGGUCCCUUAAGUGAGUUAGGUUAUAGAUCUGGACCUUUGGAGGUCCAGAGUGUCCCUUUGCCCAAGCUUUUUAUGAAUCCAUGAGGGUUUUGGAUUGGGGUCUUUGUGCUUAAGGUCAAAACACCAUUUAUGAGUCAUGGGGUGUGUUAUGAGCACCAAGUUAUGGACUUUACAUGAUGAAUUAGCUUAGGAGGGCUAGAUCUAUGAGUUGUUGGAGCGGAUCUGACCUCAGAAGCAAGUUUGAGUUGAUGCAUGGCAUGGACUCGCCGAGUCUAAAGAAUAGAAUCGGCGAGUAGCAUGAAGAUUGUCCUUGACCACUCAGUGAGUGGUCCAGCCGAGUUAUGAGUUGACUCAGUGAGUCAGGGAGAGUUAGAGAGGGUUGACAGGUGGACUGAGUCGAACUGGAACUCACCGAGUUGUUCUUGAGACUCAGCGAGUUGAGUCGGGGUGGCCCCGCGAUUCAUACCAGGUGGAACUCGUUGAGUCAGUGGAAUACUCGACGUGUCAAAAAGGGAAUCCUAGAGAGUUGGUGAAAAUGCUUAGACUCGCCGAGUCGCCCUAGUGCACUCGCCGAGUCCGGUCAAAGUUGACCGUUGACCAUUGACCAGAGUUGACCAGUGUUGACUUGAUAGGGGUAGUGAACCUUAGUGGUAAAAGUGUUAAUUAGAGUCAUAUGAUGUUAUAGGAGGAUUAUAGCCCGGAGGAUCGAUCGCCC